rnacentral:tRNA from 1 species
GACUCUAUAGUGUAGUGGUUAGCCUGUCUGCUUUACACGCAGAAGGUCCUGCGUUCCCGGCCCCCGGUGGAGCCA